CUGGGGUCGCCUGCAGUAUCACCUUGGGCCACUAGAUGGAGAUGCUGUGCAUCUUGAGCCUGGCAGGAAACCACAAAGCAGCCAGAUCCUCUAAGAGCUUUUGGUUGUACCCACUAGUUAAACUUACCCACGGAACUGUCAGAGUUUGGGGGCUGAAUUUCUUCCAGAGAAGACUUUCCUGCAUCCCACGGGCUCAGACAUGACACCUCACAUGGCUGUGAUGCUUGUGAUUGCAGUCACAUUCAGAAGCGCAAGCUCCCAGACAGUAACCCAGCCUGAGGACUACAUUUCUGUCUUUGAAGGGGCCCCGGUGCAGGUAAAGUGCAGCUACUCCUAUUCUGGGAGUCCUGUGCUCUUCUGGUACGUCCAGUACCCCAGACAAGGCCUACAGCUUCUCCUGAAACACAUUUCAACAGACAGUGCCAAAGGUUUCACAGCUGCUCUUAACAAGGAUGCGUCAUCAUUCCACCUGCAGAAGCCCUUGGCUCAGGAGGACGACACAGCCGUCUACUACUGUGCUCUGAGUCCUUGA